GCCGACGUGGCGCAAUCGGGAGACGCGCCAGACUCAGACUCUGGUUGUUGUGGGUUCGAAUCCCACCGUCGGUA
rnacentral:tRNA from 2 species